AGUGAACGCUGGCGGUAGGCCUAACACAUGCAAGUCGAACGGCAGCACAGUAAGAGCUUGCUCUUACGGGUGGCGAGUGGCGGACGGGUGAGGAAUACAUCGGAAUCUACUUUUUCGUGGGGGAGAACGUAGGGAAAAUUACGCUAAUACCGCAUACGACCUACGGGUGAAAGCAGGGGAUCUUCGGACCUUGCGCGAUUGAAUGAGCCGAUGUCGGAUUAGCUAGUUGGCGGGGUAAAGGCCCACCAAGGCGACGAUCCGUAGCUGGUCUGAGGGGAUGAUCAGCCACACUGGAACUGAGACACGGUCCAGACUCCUACGGGAGGCAGCAGUGGGGAAUAUUGGACAAUGGGCGCAAGCCUGAUCCAGCCAUACCGCGUGGGUGAAGAAGGCCUUCGGGUUGUAAAGCCCUUUUGUUGGGAAAGAAAAGCAGCAGGUUAAUACCCCGCUGUUCUGACGGUACCCAAAGAAUAAGCACCGGCUAACUUCGUG
rnacentral:rRNA from 1 species